rnacentral:rRNA from 1 species
UACAGGGGGUGCAAACAUUGCUCGGAAUCAUUGGGCGUAAAGCGCACGUAGGCGGUCUGUUAUGUCGGAUGUGAAAGCCCUUGGCUCAACUGAGGAAGUGCAUCCGAAACUGGCAGGCUAGAGUACGAAAGAGGAUCGCGGAAUUCCCGGUGUAGAGGUGAAAUGCGCAGAUAUCGGGAAGAACACCCGUGGCGAAGGCGGCUCUCUGGGACGGUACUGACGCUGAGACGCGAAAGCGUGGGGAGCGAACAGG